CGGGAUCUUCAAAGGAAGUAACCGACAUUCCUCGGAUUGCGAAGUCUGGGGAGGAAAGGUGGCGAAAGCUACCGCUCUUGGAGGGGCUCGCGGCCUAUCAGCUAGUUGGUGAGGUAACGGCUCACCAAGGCUAUGACGGGUAGCUGGUCUGAGAGGACGACCAGCCACACGGGAACUGAGACACGGUCCCGACUCCUACGGGAGGCAGCAGUGGGGAAUAUUGCACAAUGGGCGCAAGCCUGAUGCAGCGACGCCGCGUGCGGGAUGACGGCCUUCGGGUUGUAAACCGCUUUUGACAGGGACGAAGCGCAGUGACUGUACCUGUAGAAUAAGGACCGGCCAACUACGUGCCAGCAGCCGCGGUAAUACGUAGGGUGCGAGCGUUGUCCGGAAUUACUGGGCGUAAAGAGCUUGUAGGCGGUUCGUCGCGUCGUUCGUGAAAACUUGGGGCUCAACCUUAAGCUUGCAGGCGAUACGGGCGGACUAAGUACUUCAGGGGAGACUGGAAUUCCUGGUGUAGCGGUGAAAUGCGCAGAUAUCAGGAGGAACACCAGUGGCGAAGGCGCCGCUCUGGGCCGUGACUGACGCUAGGAGCGAAAGCGUGGGUAGCAAACAGGAUUAGAUACCCUGGUAGUCCACGCCGUAAACGUUGGGCACUAGGUGUGGGUCUCAACCAACGAGAUCCGCGCCGUCGCUCGCAUUAAGUGCCCGCCUGGGGAGUACGGUCGCAAGACUAAAACUCAAAGAAAUUGACGGGGCCCGCACAAGCGGCGGAGCAGUGGAUUAAUUCGAUGCAACGCGAGAACUUACCUGGGUUUGAUACACCGGACUGCAGAGAUGUCCCCUUGUGGUGUGUACUGGUGCAUGGCUGUCGUCAGCUCGUCGUGAGAUGUUGGGUUAAGUCCCGCAAGCGCACCUUUGUUGCCGCGCGUAAUG
rnacentral:rRNA from 1 species